rnacentral:lncRNA from 1 species
AAUUUAAUAUAUUAACUUUCAAGUUACUUCCUAGUAACUUACUUGAAACGUCAGAUAUAAAAUGUUAACAUAACAGUUGUAUCUAUUUACAGUCGGGGAAGGUUAAAUUAAUGCCAAGAUUCCUGAUGAUCAUUUCUAAUCCUCCCUGGAGGGUAUUCAAAAAAAUGUUUAUUUCCCAAAGACGUCAAAUGCACUCCAUCUUUCAUUAAGAAUAAUUCAUUAGCCUUUAUAUCAGGGUAACGGAGGUAACAACCAUCUGUUUUGGUUAAAAAUGAUGCUAUAGAGGUAUUUAACC